GACGAACGCUGGCGGCGUGCUUAACACAUGCCAGUCGAACGGAAAGGCCCUGCUUUUGUGGGGUGCUCGAGUGGCGAACGGGUGAGUAACACGUGAGUAACCUGCCCUUGACUUUGGGAUAACUUCAGGAAACUGGGGCUAAUACCGGAUAGGAGCUCCUGCUGCAUGGUGGGGGUUGGAAAGUUUCACGGUUGGGGAUGGACUCGCGGCUUAUCAGCUUGUUGGUGGGGUAGUGGCUUACCAAGGCUUUGACGGGUAGCCGGCCUGAGAGGGUGACCGGCCACAUUGGGACUGAGAUACGGCCCAGACUCCUACGGGAGGCAGCAGUGGGGAAUAUUGCACAAUGGGCGGAAGCCUGAUGCAGCAACGCCGCGUGCGGGAUGACGGCCUUCGGGUUGUAAACCGCUUUCGCCUGUGACGAAGCGUGAGUGACGGUAAUGGGUAAAGAAGCACCGGCUAACUACGUG
rnacentral:rRNA from 1 species